GGGGAGAAGAUCCUGUAAUUUCCCAGGGCACAGACCCUGAAUCCUGAUACUCUUGUCAAGGGAGUCCUUUCACUGCGAGAGGCAGGGAGACAAAGGGAGAGAGAGGAAGAAAGAGAAGGACGAAGGAAGGAUGGUGUGGGAGAGGCCAGGCCUCUGAGCACAGCUGGAACAUGAGUCUUCCUUGAGCCAUCAGUCCUGUCCUUGGUCUGAAGCUGACACUUGAAAAAAGUGAAAGGAAAGGUCUACCCAGCAUGAGAGCAGCCUUGGCAGCGGGUUCUACAGGCCUGCCAUCCCCUCCUUGGGAGUCUCUGUCCCUUCUCUAGAGGACUGGCAGCUUCUUGCCUUCCCUGCCUAUUGUGGGAAGGGGUCAAGGAAUGCUUUGAUAAAAAUGCACAAAGGCUUCAAUGCAGACUCAUAAGAAGCAGUUCUCUCCUUCUUUCAUCCAGCAAAAACUCCUCGAUUAACUGGGUGGGUGAAAGAAAUGCUGUUCCCUAUGGAAUAGGGACGUGUGGGCAGGGAGGAAACAAUUCCAGCCAGACUUGGAAGGGACCCAGGUCCCUUCCCUGAGGAACCAGCACUCAGGCUUACUCACCACCCCUCACAUGCGUACUCGGCCGUGAUCGGAAGCCUGUGGUGCCACAGAAGCACGGAGCAUUCGGCUCCUUUUCACAUGUGUUCUCUCAUCUGGAAUGUUCUGCCUCCUUCACCCAGAGAAACAGUUGCAGAAACGAGAUGGCUUGUCCAAGGGCACACAUCUCAUUAGUUGCAAAGCAAGGACAAGAUCAGAGCGGACUCCUACCACCCUGCGUCAUUCUCCAAUCUAAUUCACAAAUUCACCUCCUUUCUUCAA